rnacentral:rRNA from 1 species
CACGUAGGGCGCAAGCGUUGUCCGGAAUUAUUGGGCGUAAAGAGCUCGUAGGCGGUGUGUCACGUCGGCCGUGAAAACCUGCAGCUUAACUGUGGGCGUGCGGUCGAUACGGGCAUCACUGGAGUUCGGCAGGGGAGACUGGAAUUCCUGGUGUAGCGGUGAAAUGCGCAGAUAUCAGGAGGAACACCGGUGGCGAAGGCGGGUCUCUGGGCCGACACUGACGCUGAGGCGCGAAAGCUAGGGGAGCGAACGGG